GACCGCGUGGCGCAGUGGCAGCAUAUUCGGCUCGAGACCGAGAGGUGGCGGGUUCGAAUCCGCCUGCCGUGU
rfam:Branchiostoma floridae genomic scaffold BRAFLscaffold_101, whole genome shotgun sequence.